rnacentral:lncRNA from 1 species
ACAUCAAAAUGUAGAAGGUAAAAUGUAUGCAACACUAAUAUAAAUUAUUCCAAGUCUUUAAGGAGCCAAAGAAAAAAAAGAUUUCUCACAGCUUUUUGUUCUGUUUUGUAUUUCAAUUAGGAACUUGCAGUAUUAUUUUGAAAACCAUUCUAAAAUAAUAGGAGUUAGGAAAUAAAUAAAGUUUUGCUAGCCCUGCUAAGUUCAGGCUUAGAGGCUUAUCGCUAAGUAUAAACUUCACCAGAUUCCACGAAAAGCUGGAUAGCUUUUUUUCUGACUUAUGUUGUGGUUGCACCCCUCACAAAUGGCAGAACAGUAUGUAAAGCUGGUAACACCUCGGUUUCAGUGCACCAUGUGUUUGCUUUGUGAAGGUGAAGAAUAUGUUGGUUUAGAGAAAGAAAUUGGAUGUAAUUUUAUGCAAUUUACUUUUAAAGACAAACAUAACUAUUUAGCAGAGAAUAUUUUAAUAAAUGCAAAACAACAGCUGGACUGCUG